rnacentral:rRNA from 1 species
GACGAACGCUGGCGGCGUGCUUAACACAUGCAAGUCGAACGGAAAGGCCCUGCUUUUGUGGGGUGCUCGAGUGGCGAACGGGUGAGUAACACGUGAGUAACCUGCCCUUGACUUUGGGAUAACUUCAGGAAACUGGGGCUAAUACCGGAUAGGAGCUCCUGCUGCAUGGUGGGGGUUGGAAAGUUUCGGCGGUUGGGGAUGGACUCGCGGCUUAUCAGCUUGUUGGGGGGGUAGUGGCUUACCAAGGCUUUGACGGGUAGCCGGCCUGAGAGGGUGACCGGCCAAAUUGGGACUGGGAUACGGCCCGGACUCCUACGGGAGGCGGCAGUGGGGAAUAUUGCACAAUGGGCGGAAGCCUAAUGCAGCAACGCCGCGUGCGGGAUGACGGCCUUCGGGUUGUAAACCGCUUUCGCCGGUGACGAAGCGUGAGUGACGGUAAUGGGUAAAGAAGCACCGGCUAACUACGUG